rnacentral:rRNA from 1 species
GAUGAACGCUGGCGGCGUGCCUAUACAUGCAAGUCGCGCGAACAGACGAGGAGCUUGCUCCUCUGACGUUAGCGGCGGACGGGUGAGUAACACGUGGAUAACCUACCUAUAAGACUGGGAUAACUUCGGGAAACCGGAGCUAAUACCGGAUAAUAUAUUGAACCGCAUGGUUCAAUAGUGAAAGACGGUUUUGCUGUCACUUAUAGAUGGAUCCGCGCCGCAUUAGCUAGUUGGUAAGGUAACGGCUUACCAAGGCAACGAUGCGUAGCCGACCUGAGAGGGUGAUCGGCCACACUGGAACUGAGACACGGUCCAGACUCCUACGGGAGGCAGCAGUAGGGAAUCUUCCGCAAUGGGCGAAAGCCUGACGGAGCAACGCCGCGUGAGUGAUGAAGGUCUUCGGAUCGUAAAACUCUGUUAUUAGGGAAGAACAAAUGUGUAAGUAACUAUGCACGUCUUGACGGUACCUAAUCAGAAAGCCACGGCUAACUACGUG